UACGGGGGGGGGCAAGCGUUGUUCGGAAUUACUGGGCGUAAAGAGCGCGUAGGCGGUCCGGUAAGUCAGCUGUGAAAGUCAAGGGCUCAACCCUUGAAAGCCGGCUGAUACUGCCGGACUAGAGUCCGGAAGAGGCGAGUGGAAUUCCCGGUGUAGCGGUGAAAUGCGCAGAUAAUCAGGAAGAACACCUAUGGCGAAGGCAGCUCUCUGGGACGGUACUGACGCUGAGACGGCGAAAGCGUGGGGAGC
rnacentral:rRNA from 1 species